rnacentral:tRNA from 1 species
GGUGAGUAGAGCUCAGUGGUAGAGCACAUGCUUAGCAUGCACGAGGCCCUGGGUUCAAUCCCCAGCACCU